CACGUAGUUAGCCGGGACUUCUUAGUCAGGUACCGUCUUUUUUUCUUCCCUGCUGAUAGAAGUUUACAUACCGAAAUACUUCUUCCUUCACGCGGCGUCGCUGCAUCAGGGUUUCCCCCAUUGUGCAAUAUUCCCCACUGCUGCCUCCCGUAGGAGUCUGGACCGUGUCUCAGUUCCAAUGUGGCCGUUCACCCUCUCAGACCGGCUACUGAUCGCUGACUUGGUAGGCCUCUACCCCACCAACUAUCUAAUCAGACGCGGGCCCAUCCUGUACCGUCUCGGCUUUUCACACUGUAACAUGCGUUACUGUGCGCUUAUGGGGUAUUAGCAGCUGUUUCCGGCUGUUGUCCCCCUGUACAGGGCAGGUUGCCCACGCGUUACUCCACCCGUCCGCCACUAAGUCACUUACUUCUUCCUCCCGAAGUAUUUAGUUGUAAGCGCUUCGUUCAACUUGCAUGUGUUAGGCACGCCGCCAGCGUUCAUCCUGACGCCAGGACUACAAACUCU
rnacentral:rRNA from 1 species